CGUGAAAUUGUUGAAAGGGAAGCGCUUGCAAUCAGACUUGCACUUGGUGUUCAUCAGGGUCUCGUACCCUGUGUACUUCAUCAAGUUCAGGCCAGCAUCAGUUUGAGUGGUUGGAUAAAGGCUUAGAGAAUGUGGCCCUCUUCGGGGGGGGUUAUAGCUCUAGGUGCAAUGUAGCCUACUUGGACUGAGGACCGCGCUUCGGCUAGGAUGCUGGCGUAAUGGUUGUAAGCGACCCGUCUUGAAACACGG
rnacentral:rRNA from 1 species